AUUGAACGCUGGCGGCAUGCCUUACACAUGCAAGUCGAACGGUAACAGAUCUUCGGAUGCUGACGAGUGGCGAACGGGUGAGUAAUACAUCGGAACGUGCCUAGUAGUGGGGGAUAACUACUCGAAAGAGUGGCUAAUACCGCAUGAGAUCUACGGAUGAAAGCAGGGGAUCGCAAGACCUUGUGCUACUAGAGCGGCCGAUGGCAGAUUAGGUAGGUGGUGGGAUAAAAGCUUACCAAGCCGACGAUCUGUAGCUGGUCUGAGAGGACGAUCGGACACACGGGGACUGAGACACGGCCAAGACUCCUACGGGAGGCAGCAGUGGGGAAUUUUGGACAAUGGGAGCAAGCCUGAUCCAGCAAUGCCGCGUGCAGGAUGAAGGCCUUCGGGUUGUAAACUGCUUUUGUACGGAACGAAAAGCCCUGGGUUAAUACCCUGGGGUCAUGACGGUACCGUAAGAAUAAGCACCGGCUAACUACGUGCCAGCCGCCGCGGUAAAAC
rnacentral:rRNA from 1 species